rnacentral:lncRNA from 1 species
GAAAUUAUUUAGAAACUUGUCUUUGUUUUGUAGAGGAGUUGAAGUUUCAUUUGGAGAAUUCUAAGAGCUGUGCAAUAAUAACUACAGAAGAGUUGGUAUCAACGGUUAAGGAAGCUGUGGGUACCAGUGAAACUAUUAAACUGAAGGAAAUUAUUGUGUUUGGGAAUUCACAUGGUUGUCGUCCAUUCUCAACCCUUGUAGAAGAUGAUGGAACUGCCUUAACAGAAGUUUACUCUGGCAAUGCUAAAGAAGAUGUUCUUGUAUUACCUUAUUCAAGUGGAACAACUGGAUUACCUAAAGGGGUCAUGCUAACACACCAUAAUAUUAUUUCAAACAUUCUACAACUUACUAUUCUUGAAUUUAAUAUAUCUGAUCGAAUCCUUGGAAUUCUUCCUUUUUACCACAUCUACGGAAUGGUCUGCAUACUGUUUAGUAUUAUUACAAAUGGGUGUUCAAUAUACACUUUACCAAAAUUUGAACCAGAAACUUUCUUAUCUACAUUAAGCAAGAAUA